CCUCACCCUCUCACCCCACGAACCCUAGCGCUCCAGAUCCGCCACCCACCUCAUGCGCUCCCUCUCCCCCAUCGCCGCCGCCACCCCGCCGAUCCCAUCCCUCCCGAUUCAGAUCCAUUCUCCCCGAUUCAGAUCCGACCCCGCCGCCCGCGCCCGCGCGCCACCAUCCGCUCCUCCUCGCCUCUUGGAGGACAUCCGCCGCUCUUCCUCCGCCCGUCCCGGAGGCCUUGGUCGGCGCCCUCCGCCUAGGGCCGCCACGCUCGUCCCGCCCUCAGCGCCGCACCUCCUUUUCCUCAUGGCCUCGCACCUCCCCGAUCCAUGUUCCUCGCACGCUCACCGCUUCGCCUCUGUCUCCCACCACGCCGCACGCCCCACGCUGGAAAAGGGAAGGCGAGCCACCUCCGCCCUCCCCUCGCCCCCGCGCUGGUCCCACCGCCGAGCCCAGUUCCCCUCACUUCUCCGUGCAGGCGCCGUCGCAUCAAUCGAUCUCCCGAGCAAGCGACCUCCCUCUCCAAUCUACUCGUUGGCUAUGGCGGACGAGCCGGAGGGGCGAGGGGAGGGGGAGCGUGGACGCCAACUGGCGCCCCACCCAUGACUCAGAUCCCGCCACCACGGCCGCCGGAGGCGGGGUUGACCCGAACGCACCGGCGCCCCACCGCCGGAGGAGACUGGCGCUCCGGGCUCCAUCCCGACGCCCGCGCCAGGAUCGUCAGUAAGAUAUCCAGUCGCACUCCUCAUCCAGCUCCAUGUCUCCUAGUGCGGCGGCACAGUGGGAGGAUGUGAACGCGUGGCCGCCCAGGGGUGGUGGUGGUGGUGACCUGCCUGCUCGUCCCUCGUCCUCAUCACCGGCCUCUCCGAGGUCGCUGCUGGGGCAAUCUCCAUGGGCCCUUGAGGAUGGAGUAGGAGGAUGAGCAGCAGCAAAUGAGCCUGAUGGUGAAGAAGCACCUGAUGACCAGAACUCGUUCAAGAGCUCUUUUGUCCUUCCAAAACAGGGUCUUGAUGUCCCCCUUACAGAAAAAUGUUCAUACAUGUUCCUGCAUGAUGCGUGUGUGCAUGUUGGAUGGUCAUAUUCCAGUGUACUAGCUAGCUAGUAAGCUUGUUUUGCUACCGGAUGAUUGAAUGUGAUCUCAGUUUUUACCUCAUGUAGCUGACCGCCUAAUUUGUAGGAUGCUGCGCUCGCUACUUACAUGUUUUCUGAUGCCGCAACAAAGGACUAUAUGUGGUUUCUUCAGUGGGACUGUUGCUGUCGCUCCUCAUAUUCAAUAACAUUUCAGCAUUGGACCUGCUAGUCACCCAAGCCAAGCCUCGCAUCGCUUCAACAAAGCGAUACUUCUUCCAAUCAACCCCUACUUCGGCUCUGCUCUUUUUUCCAUCUUCUCUUAUUUAAGCUAAGAAAGAUUCGGAGUUUGCAUCCAUCUCAUUACACUAGCUAGCACAAUAUAUUAGUUAAGGCAACUCUACUACAUAUCAGUUUCCCCUACUGGAUUGGUUCUAUAUUUUUAAAGUUGUUUCAUGGUGCAUGAGCCCAACCUGAAGAAAUAUAGGCUUAUGAUGACUAUUUUCGUUCUUAAGUAAUCAUAGUUGUUGGCUUCGGUAGCUUGCUGAAUAUGCUUUAGUUAUAUAUAGAAAUGACGUGCCUUCUAUGCUUAAAUGAUUGUUUGGCUCUAUAUAAUUGUUGACAUGAAUAUCUUGACUUCCCAAACAAGUAUAGGACUGUACCUAUGCACACAGAUUGUCCUAACAAAACUGAAAAUAAAAAUUGAAGCAUGAAAUAAGCAAUAAGUGGCUGAUUUUUAUUUGCAUGUUAAGCGGAAAGUUGUAGCCAAGGCUUAUAUAUUACGAAAUAUUGUCACACCUCUGAGCUUCUACUAUUGUUAGGGACAUCGUAGUGUGAUCUUCAUGAUUUUUCGCUUGAAGAUGUACUGAUUCAUUCGUCAAGCAGAGACCGAAGUCAUCUUUUACUACUUCUAGCUCUAUGGAUGUUUAUUUACCUGCAACUUCUGCCAGCUUUAACUUGGUUAUAUAGCAGUUCAAUUCAGUCAAUCUGUUGGAACUAGUUUGUCGAUUACUUGUAUCCAGAUUUUAUAUCCUGCCCUAUGCCAUUGUCGACUUGCUUAGGUACAUAAUUGUUAUGUCUUGCAAUCUGGUAUUGAUGAUUGUCAAUGUAUUCAUUUAUACCUUUCUAGUGUACCUUGUAUGUGACCCAGCUGAUCUGUAUAUCAAUGCUCUGUUUCCAAAAGAUGUAUGCUGAUGCCUGAUGGCUGAUUCCUUAAAACUUCACUGUUGCAGUAGCAUUUUUCCUUACUGCAUAGAUGUAUGAGCGAUCACUUAUGCUUGAAACCUUGCUCUCUUUCCCAGGAACCAUCGUGGUCUGCGUCACUACUGGGGCAGGAGAGGAAAGACUGUUGGUGUCUCCAGGAAGCGAUAAACUGCUUCACAAGGAUCCCCGCAUAGCUUCACUACUACUGUGUUGGUCCAUUUCCAGAAUCGUAAGGAGUAUUCUUGUUUAUACGAUUACCUUGGAUGAUGCUUUUGCUUAAGGAGAGGCUCAAGAAGAUCAAGGAGCUCCGCAUCCGAGUUUCAGCCAUCCUCUACAGCAAGGAGCUCUGGGCCAAAGGAGCAAGCAGCGCUGCUAGUUCCUUGAUGCCAGAUCGAGUAAGAUGGCGCACCAUGGCGUGUGGUGGCGUAUUUUGCUUCCGAGAACAGUACUGUUUAUUUGAAGUGACAUUUACUCGUCUAGUGCCUGGCAAAAAAAUGAAGGAUGAAGUGUCAUGUACUGUCUAUGUUGUAGUGAGCUGCAGUAGGAGUGAAAUGAAAAUGUAUCUGCUGUUGUAUGUGCUAUUUCGCUGUAAUGUAUUGUGUACAUUUUACUUGAACAUUAAAUUCUCCAGAAAAAUGUUCUUACUGGA